CUGCCUGGUUGAGAUUUCCAGGCUCAUGUGCAGCCUCUCCCCGAUGUGUGUGGUCAUAUCUCUAAGCACAGCAGAUUUCCUACCAUGUCCUGAGUUUUCUGACCUUCAGUCCUUUGGAGAGACUCUUCCCACUGUCUGUAAUCCCCUUUCCCCCUUAUCAACCUGACAAACUCCCAUUUAUCAAUUAAGGCCCAGCUGACAUGCCACUUCUUAUUGGUUUCCCUGACCUUUUUUCCACCUUUUCCCCUACUGUGACUGCAGAAUUAUUAACUUAGCGUUUGUGUUUCCAAGCACUUAUAUUACGUGUGCUUCUAUUACAGCAACUAUCACAACGCAUUCUUACUUGUGAACAUGUACAUAUGCCAUCCACCUCUAGGCCACCUAGCUUUUUCAGGAAACUUUAUUCCUCAUUUUUCCAGUACCCAGAAGCCAGCACAUUACAUGACAUAGUUUGGUGAAUAGAAUUGAAUAGAGGAAAUGUAUAAUAAAUGAACUUUCUUUUCCCUGAGAUGAUAUCUGUCCCAGAGAAUAUAGAGAUAUCUUUACAAGACCAAUAAUGAGCUUAAUGGUACUUAAUAUCAAUUAUGUUCAAUCUUCAAUUUCAGAAAUAGCUUCAGUUAGGGUUUUUUUUUAACCAAUAGCAGUUAAACGAAGAUAUUAAAGGAAAUCUUAUUGCAGCAAUUGCUCAAGUUGAAACAGGUUUGAGAACAAAUCCAAUUUAAAUACAUGCCAUUUACUUCUAUUUACCUAUAGGAUGUUUAAAAUGGAACACUUUGGGGCAGAAUUAUAAAAGUCUCCAUCUUCAAUUGUGAGUUGUGAUGAAGUCUUUUUUACAGCUUUUCAAACAUUAUACUGUGGUUGGUUAUUCAAAAGUUCAAAUUAUCACAAAUUGUUCCACAGUCAUAGAUUCCUAACUAUAACACUUAUUUAAAUGAACCUAUCCUCUAUGGAAAGCCCUGAUUCCAAAGGAUUAGCUGUUGACUUCCAUAAAAUGGCACAGAUUAGGACAAUUUUCCUAGGCCCUCUCUGUACAAUUUCAUGCUCUCGUAAUGAUGGCCAGCAACUCAGGGCACCAGUUAAUGAAAAGAGGUGUAUCUCCUCCAAUUGGGGUUUUUUAAACACCUGUGGCUGCAAAGAUUUUUAAAAUUUUAAUACCCAGCUAGUGACAUUAUGGAGAAAUUAGCAUUCUCAUAACAUUUUGAUGAGUUUUGGUAGAUCACAGGAAUAAAACUAGUUUGGAGAGCCGCACCAAGAAUAUAUAUCAAGGACUUUUUUAAUGUUCAGAUGCUUUCUACUGAAUUGUAUCCCUAAAACUCUCCCAUAAAGCUCUCAAUGAUGCCAGACGCGGUGGUUCAUGCCUGUAAUCCCAGUAUUUUGGAAGGAUGAGGCAAGAGGAUUGCUUGAGGCCGGGAGUGUGAGACCAGCCUGGUCAACAUAAUGAGACCUCGUCUCUACCAAAA
rnacentral:lncRNA from 1 species